GUUGAACGCUGGCGGCGUGCCUAACACAUGCAAGUCGAGCGAACACAUGAAGCAGCUGGCUCUUUUGCGUUCGCGGCGGAGGCGUGUGUAACACGUCGAUGAACUAUCCUUAUGAAUGGGAUAACCUCGUGAAAACGGUACUUAAACCGGCUAAACUACUGAAGCGCAAGGAUAGAGAGUUUACGGCCGUUUUGCUUUCACUUAUACCUGGAUCGGCGCCGGAUUAGCUAGUUGGUCGGGUAACGGCUUACCAAGGCGACGAUUCGUAGCCGACCUGAGAGGAUGAUCAGCCACACUGGAACUGAGACACGGUCCAGACUCCUACGGGAGGCAGCAGUGGGGAAUAUUGCACAAUGGGCGAAAGCCUGACGCAGCAACGCCGCGUGAGUGAAGAAGGUCUUCGGGUCGUAAAGCUCUUUUAUUGGGGAAGAACAGAUGAGUGUGAAUCCAUGCACGUCUUGACGGUACCUAAAGAAAAAGCCACGGCUAACUACGUG
rnacentral:rRNA from 1 species